rnacentral:pre_miRNA from 1 species
UUUUUAGCAUAAGUAUGUCCCAUGCAAUAUUUUGGGUUUACUUAUACUAAAA